rnacentral:rRNA from 1 species
UUAAGCGACUAAGCGUACACGGUGGAUGCCCUGGCAGUCAGAGGCGAUGAAGGACGUGCUAAUCUGCGAAAAGCGUCGGUAAGGUGAUAUGAACCGUUAUAACCGGCGAUGUCCGAAUGGGGAAACCCAGUGCAAUUCGUUGCACUAUCGUUAACUGAAUACAUAGGUUAACGAGGCGAACCGGGGGAACUGAAACAUCUAAGUACCCCGAGGAAAAGAAAUCAACCGAGAUUCCCCCAGUAGCGGCGAGCGAACGGGGAGCAGCCCAGAGUCUGAAUCAGCUUGUGUGUUAGUGGAACGGUCUGGAAAGUCCGACGGUACAGGGUGAUAGUCCCGUACACCAAAAUGCACAGGUUGUGAACUCGAAGAGUAGGGCGGGACACGUGGUAUCCUGUCUGAAUAUGGGGGGACCAUCCUCCAAGGCUAAAUACUCCUGACUGACCGAUAGUGAACCAGUACCGUGAGGGAAAGGCGAAAAGAACCCCGGCGAGGGGAGUGAAAAAGAACCUGAAACCGUGUACGUACAAGCAGUGGGAGCACCUUCGGGUGUGACUGCGUACCUUUUGUAUAAUGGGUCAGCGACUUAUAUUCUGUAGCAAGGUUAACCGUAUAGGGGAGCCGCAGGGAAACCGAGUCUUAACUGGACGUUAAGUUGCAGGGUAUAGACCCGAAACCCGGUGAUCUAGCCAUGGGCAGGUUGAAGGUUGGGUAACACUAACUGGAGGACCGAACCGACUAAUGUUGAAAAAUUAGCGGAUGACUUGUGGCUGGGGGUGAAAGGCCAAUCAAACCGGGAGAUAGCUGGUUCUCCCCGAAAGCUAUUUAGGUAGCGCCUCGUGAAUUCAUCUUCGGGGGUAGAGCACUGUUUCGGCUAGGGGGUCAUCCCGACUUACCAACCCGAUGCAAACUACGAAUACCGAAGAAUGUUAUCACGGGAGACACACGGCGGGUGCUAACGUCCGUCGUGAAGAGGGAAACAACCCAGACCGCCAGCUAAGGUCCCAAAGUCAUGGUUAAGUGGGAAACGAUGUGGGAAGGCACAGACAGCCAGGAUGUUGGCUUAGAAGCAGCCAUCAUUUAAAGAAAGCGUAAUAGCUCACUGGUCGAGUCGGCCUGCGCGGAAGAUGUAACGGGGCUAAACCAUGCACCGAAGCUGCGGCAGCGACACUAUGUGUUGUUGGGUAGGGGAGCGUUCUGUAAGCCUGCGAAGGUGUGCUGUGAGGCAUGCUGGAGGUAUCAGAAGUGCGAAUGCUGACAUAAGUAACGAUAAAGCGGGUGAAAAGCCCGCUCGCCGGAAGACCAAGGGUUCCUGUCCAACGUUAAUCGGGGCAGGGUGAGUCGACCCCUAAGGCGAGGCCGAAAGGCGUAGUCGAUGGGAAACAGGUUAAUAUUCCUGUACUUGGUGUUACUGCGAAGGGGGGACGGAGAAGGCUAUGUUAGCCGGGCGACGGUUGUCCCGGUUUAAGCAUGUAGGCUGGUUAUCCAGGCAAAUCCGGAUAAUCAAGGCUGAGGUGUGAUGACGAGGCACUACGGUGCUGAAGUAACAAAUGCCCUGCUUCCAGGAAAAGCCUCUAAGCAUCAGGUAACAUCAAAUCGUACCCCAAACCGACACAGGUGGUCAGGUAGAGAAUACCAAGGCGCUUGAGAGAACUCGGGUGAAGGAACUAGGCAAAAUGGUGCCGUAACUUCGGGAGAAGGCACGCUGGUGUGUAGGUGAAGUCCCUGCGGAUGGAGCUGAGACCAGUCGAAGAUACCAGCUGGCUGCAACUGUUUAUUAAAAACACAGCACUGUGCAAACACGAAAGUGGACGUAUACGGUGUGACGCCUGCCCGGUGCCGGAAGGUUAAUUGAUGGGGUUAUCCGUAAGGAGAAGCUCUUGAUCGAAGCCCCGGUAAACGGCGGCCGUAACUAUAACGGUCCUAAGGUAGCGAAAUUCCUUGUCGGGUAAGUUCCGACCUGCACGAAUGGCGUAAUGAUGGCCAGGCUGUCUCCACCCGAGACUCAGUGAAAUUGAACUCGCUGUGAAGAUGCAGUGUACCCGCGGCAAGACGGAAAGACCCCGUGAACCUUUACUAUAGCUUGACACUGAACAUUGAGCCUUGAUGUGUAGGAUAGGUGGGAGGCUUUGAAGCGUGGACGCCAGUCUGCGUGGAGCCAACCUUGAAAUACCACCCUUUAAUGUUUGAUGUUCUAACGUUGGCCCCUUACCGGGGUUGCGGACAGUGUCUGGUGGGUAGUUUGACUGGGGCGGUCUCCUCCCAAAGCGUAACGGAGGAGCACGAAGGUUAGCUAAUCCUGGUCGGACAUCAGGAGGUUAGUGCAAUGGCAUAAGCUAGCUUGACUGCGAGCGUGACGGCGCGAGCAGGUGCGAAAGCAGGUCAUAGUGAUCCGGUGGUUCUGAAUGGAAGGGCCAUCGCUCAACGGAUAAAAGGUACUCCGGGGAUAACAGGCUGAUACCGCCCAAGAGUUCAUAUCGACGGCGGUGUUUGGCACCUCGAUGUCGGCUCAUCACAUCCUGGGGCUGAAGUAGGUCCCAAGGGUAUGGCUGUUCGCCAUUUAAAGUGGUACGCGAGCUGGGUUUAGAACGUCGUGAGACAGUUCGGUCCCUAUCUGCCGUGGGCGCUGGAGAAUUGAGGGGGGCUGCUCCUAGUACGAGAGGACCGGAGUGGACGCAUCACUGGUGUUCGGGUUGUCAUGCCAAUGGCACUGCCCGGUAGCUAAAUGCGGAAGAGAUAAGUGCUGAAAGCAUCUAAGCACGAAACUUGCCCCGAGAUGAGUUCUCCCUGAGACUUUAAGUCUCCUGAAGGAACGUUGAAGACGACGACGUUGAUAGGCCGGGUGUGUAAGCGCAGCGAUGCGUUGAGCUAACCGGUACUAAUGAACCGUGAGGCUUAACCUU